AGUCCAGAAUAUUGUUAUCUAAAUUAGGUCCAGGUGUGGAUGAGUCUCCUUGGGUGCACUGGUUUUUGACUACACUUUUUCUCAAUCUGAAGACCUAUGAAUUAAGCAUACAACCAACACGGGCACGUGAUAACCAGAAUAAAUGCUGCUGUUGGAAAAGGAACGAAGGAGGUUCUCAUGAGUCACCGGUCCAUAGCAAUUCUGAAGUUCAGCUGGCACAGACUGAACAUUCUGGCAGGAGAAACCUGAAAUGCACAGUGAAAUGAAUUUUUCUAGUCAAUGUGGAGGAGAGAGCAAGGCAGAAUGGGUUUGUCUCUUAAUUCAGGCCAAAGACCCUGAGGGCAAAGCAACGCCUGCCGGGAACUGAAACUACCCCUCAAGCAAUAAGGACUGCCCUGAGCCAAUAAGACUCCACCAUCAACUCCAAGACAAUGACCAACCUGACCUUUACUGACCACCUGCAUGUACCCACCCACCUUUGUCCCACAUUUUCUUUACAUAUUCCUGGAAGUAUUUUUGGUACUUUAGAGACAGUCUUUGAUGUUAGUCUGCUAUCUUCCUGGUGUUGGCCUCACUGAAUAAAUUCCCUCUUUGUUUC